rnacentral:rRNA from 1 species
CCCGCUGAACUUAAGCAUAUUACUAAGCGGUGGAAAAGAAAAUAACUAUGAUUCCUUGAGUAAUGGCGAAUGAAAAAGGAAAAGCUCAGAAUUAAAAUCUGUAAGGGGUAACUCCUUUACCGAAUUGUAGUUUUCAGAAGAAAAGUAAGGCGAAUGGAUCUUCAAGGAAUAAGUUCGUUGAGAAACGAUGCUAAAAACGGUUAAAGCCCGGUAUUCUUCCUUUCGAAACCUUUGUCUAAAUUAUUUUUCUUCUUAGAGUCGUGUUGUUUGAAAGUACAGCACUAAAUAGGUGGUAAAUUUCAUCUAAAGCUAAAUAUUACCCAAAGACCGAUAGCGAACAAGUACUGUGAAGGAAAGAUGAAAAGAACUUUGAAAAGAGAGUGAAAAAGUCCUUGAAAUUGUUAAAAGGGAAGAAAUGGAAAGAAAAUUAGGAGAAGAUGGGGUAAGGAAGAAGGAGAAGUUCAGUGGAAAAGAGAGUUUAUAGAGAAAAAGAGUUAAAUCUCUUUUUUUAGAUGUGAUUCCUUUGAUGCUGAACAACUUUUUAUAACUUUCCCAUUCUUUUGUCAAAUUAAAAGAGAUAAUUUUGUAAAAGACUUUGUGAAAGGUUUUUAAGGGAGAAUCUUGCUGUUUUCUUUUAAAGCAUAUAGACACAAAGAAAUGAUACAAAACAACUCUUUUACAAGAGGUGAACGCGCCUCAAAAGGGAAAUAAGUAUUCAAUUGCUUAUCUUCUGAAACAAAUUUGACAUUUGAUUUUUUUCAUUUUCCCGUCUUGAAACACGG